rnacentral:rRNA from 1 species
AUGGCCUCGACGGGAUCCCCGCCGCCGCCCUGCUCUCGGGGAGACCCCCACCUCCGCCCUGCCGUCCAGGCGAUCCCCACCGCGGCCAUGCCCGCGAGGAGGCCCACAUCGCCGCCCUGCCCGCCAGGAGACCCCUACCGUCGCGCUGCUCUGCAGGCGUUCCCCACCACCGCCCUGCUCUACAGGAGUUCCCCGCCGCCGCCCAGGGAGAUCCCGGCGGCAGCCCUCCCCUCCGGCAAGACGCGGUUCUCGCCCGAGAUUUAUGUGGAGAAAGAGGGCUACUACCUCUUGGAAGAUGCGGAGGGCUAUUUUUUCCGCGAGUCAGAUGGUUGCUACUACUUCUUCCAGUGUUUCAAAGGGGAGGGCUACUAUUAUCAUAGCGAAGAAAGCGAGUACUUUCACGCCGGAGAGAGCUUAUACGUCCAGGAGUAUGGGCUGGAGACCCUUGAUGCUCAUUUACAGAGACUCGCCCUUGAUGGCGACUACGGCGGCGAGGUGGGCGAGGGCCUCCAUCACCAUGGCGACUUUGACAAGCUGGGCCUCCAUCACCAUGGCGACUUUGACAAGCUGGGCCUCCAUCACCAUGGCGACUUUGACAAGCUGGGCCUCCAUCACCAUGGCGACUUCGACAAGCUGGGCCUCGACGGCGACUUCGACAAGCUGGGCCUUCGCUUGCACAUGCAGGAUGACUACGGCCUGCAGACUCUUGACACUGAGUUACAGAGACUGGCCCUUGAUGCCGACAACAGCGGCAAGGUGGGUGAGGCCCUGGGCAGUUGUGGUAAGGUGUCUGGCAAGGUGGCCCAGGGCCUCCACGGGAACUUCGACAAGCCGGGCCUUCACAGGGACUUUGACAAGCUGGGCCUUCGCUUCCACAAGCAGGGCCAGGGCCUCCACGGAGACAUCGACAACCUGGGCCUCCGCUUCCACAAGCAGGGCCAGGACCUGGAGGAGCACUGCAAGGGGGUCCAGGUCCCGGAUGGUCACUGCAAGGGGGGCCAGGUGCUGGACGACGACUUCGUUGAUGGCGACUCUCCUUGUUUGAAGGCUCUUGAGGCUUCAGGAGUCUCUGGGCGUCGUUUGUUUGCUCGGCGUGUCUAG